AUUGAACGCUGGCGGCAGGCUUAACACAUGCAAGUCGAGCGGAGAUGAGGUGCUUGCACCUUAUCUUAGCGGCGGACGGGUGAGUAAUGCUUAGGAAUCUGCCUAUUAGUGGGGGACAACAUUCCGAAAGGAAUGCUAAUACCGCAUACGUCCUACGGGAGAAAGCAGGGGAUCUUCGGACCUUGCGCUAAUAGAUGAGCCUAAGUCGGAUUAGCUAGUUGGUGGGGUAAAGGCCUACCAAGGCGACGAUCUGUAGCGGGUCUGAGAGGAUGAUCCGCCACACUGGGACUGAGACACGGCCCAGACUCCUACGGGAGGCAGCAGUGGGGAAUAUUGGACAAUGGGGGGAACCCUGAUCCAGCCAUGCCGCGUGUGUGAAGAAGGCCUUAUGGUUGUAAAGCACUUUAAGCGAGGAGGAGGCUACUGAGACUAACACUCUUGGAUAGUGGACGUUACUCGCAGAAUAAGCACCGGCUAACUCUGUGCCAGCCGCCGCGGUAAGAC
rnacentral:rRNA from 1 species